ensembl:lncRNA
AUUUUGUAGUAAGAUUUGAAAUCACAAAGUAUGGGCUCUCCAAAUGUGUUUUUUUCAAGAUUCUUCUGGGGCUGUUCUGUGCCCCUUGAUUUUGAUGUGAAUUUUUGAUUCAGCAUGUCAAUUUCUUUAAAAAAACAAAAAAAAAAGGCAGCUCAGAUUUUCACAUGGAUUGCAGUGAUCCAUAGAUCAAUUUCGGAGUGUAUUGCCAUCCUAACAUGAUUAUAUUCUGACCCAUGAACAUGGGAUGUAUUUCCACUUUUUAGGUCUUUAUUUCAAUAAUUUUUUUGUCACUUUCAGAAUUUAAGCUUUGCAUUUCUUUUGUUAUUUUUUGCUUCAGUGUUUUAUUAUUUUAUUCUGUUUGCUACCAUUGUGAAUGAAAUUGUUUUCUUGAUUUCAUUUUCAGACUGUUCAUUACUAUUGUAUCAAAAUACAGUUAAUUUUUGGAUUCAGUUUGCUAGCAUUUUAUUGAGGAUUUUUAGAUCUAUGUUCAUCAGGGAUAUUAGCCUGUAAUUUUCUUUGCUUGUGAUGUCUUCUUCUGGUUUUUGUAUUUCCCUUUUCCCGGGUCAGUCAGGCUAUGAUAAAACCCCAACAGGUUAGGCUGGGGCUAAAUAGUUUCUCCUGCGGGCGAACCUUGUUAAUAAGAAUAGGAUGCACCUGUGUAUUUCAGAUUGGUUCCUUUUCCCCUCCUCCUGCUGGAAGCCGGAGAGGAUUUUCCUCCCACGUUCACUAUGACCUGGUUGAGCAGCUAGAGGAUCCAACUACUGCUGGAGACCAAACAGCCAGGAAGUGGCAAUGCUGGGACUUGAACAGAGGCCAUUGCCCACACUUGGUGGAUGCCCUGUGCAAAUGCUCACCUUUGUUUUAUAUCCUAAGAAUGUCUCUCUCAAGGACCUGGGAGCCGUCCCAUUGAAAUGGAAUCGUUGAAGGAGAUAGCGCCCCCCAUCUCCCGGUCUCUGUGGGAGGGGAGGAGCCUAACUGUGAUACAUGACAAUUAGCAAACACAGAUGCCUAAUCACAUUGACCAACUUCCGACUUAAUGUUCCCCAGGACUUUUGCACCAGCUCACUCCAGUGCUUAGAAAUCUUCCUGCCUUUUGGUUCAGUGGAGUUGAGUUCAAGCUCUUUCCCCAUCACAGUAAUGUUGAAAGAAGUGUUCCUUGUCUGUUUAAGUCUCUCCAGUGCAGUUUUUCUUUGACAUGUCUCAUACUCAGAUAUCCUUGCACUGCUGCAAAAUGGAAGGUGCAUACAUGAUAAUAAAAACACUUUUGAAAGCUUUAUUGUUCCUUGAAAAUUGUACUGCAGUUGUAAAGCGAUCCUAUGGAUUAGGUGGGUCAAGUUACUCCCUCAUUCCUGAUGUGGAGAGGGCACUCUGUGAGGAUUUUUUUUUAAUGUGACAAAAUAUGUCUUUCUUUGGCUGAACUGUCACAUAAGAUGUCAUUAAGACAUGGGUGCCUUUUUAAAAGGACAUUCACAGUCAUGACACUUAGGUUAUGUCACCAACUGCUGACAUGGGUAACAAGUUAUUUGUAUUGAGUUCUCAAGUAAUUCAUGCUGCAUUUACCAAGUAUUCCAUGUUCAUUUUUGACUAAAGUAGAAACUGUGACUUGCUAUGUUAUAAAUUAACUUUUCCAAGGAUUUCUAUAUGAUAGAUUCUCUCAGAUAAGUAUGCUGAAUCCUUUCUUUAUAACCUAAAACAUUUUAUAACAAUCUCUAUUGUCCAGAGAUUGGAUUUGAGAUGGCUGCUGACAGCAACAACAAAAUCAAAACAAAACGCUUUUCUAUUCCUUUGAGUUAGAAUCUAUUUCUGGAGAUCUGCUUUCUGUAUGAAAUAAAACUAUCAAUCUAUCAGUUUAUCCAUAUGUAUUUUCCCUUUCAAUGCCAGUGUCAGGCAAGAGAAUCCAAAGCUUUCUGCUAAGGGUUUCUUCAGCAAAACCUUAGCCUCCUGCAGUGCUAAUCUUGAGCUGUAAGUUCAGGGUGAGAUCCACACUGUUUGGUAUUUAUUUCCUUCCCUCUCUCCUCCCUCCUUUUCUCUAUUUUUAUUUUAGCAAAAUGAUGGAAAAAUAUAACUAAUCCGGUUAUGACAGCAUGCUUUAAUAUCUACUUAGUUUCUAUCAGCCUCUUUUAAAUCACAUUUCACAGCAGUCUCACUUAAUUUCCGAAAACUAUUUUAGUCCCCUGAUUAGUGAGAACCCAAAAUACCAGAAUGUAAUAUACAAUCUACCAGUGUGUGUGUAUGUGUGUCUGGUAUUG